GUCCUUUUGAGUUUAAUUUAAGGUCUGACCUGCCCACUGAAAUUUUUUGAAGGGCCGCAGUAAUUUGACUGUGCAAAGGUAGCAUAAUCAUUAGUUUUUUAAUUGAAAGCUUGUAUGAAGGGUUGGACGAGGUAAAUUCUGUCUCUAUUUAAUUUUAUAUAGAAUUUAAUUUUUAAGUUAAAAAGCUUAAAUUUUUUUAAAAGACGAGAAGACCCUAUAGAUCUUUAUAUUAAAAGUAUUAAUUUUAAUUAAGAAUAUUUAAUUUUUUAGUAUUUAUAAUAUUUUAUUGGGGUAAUGAAAAGAUUAAAUUAAUUCUUUUUUUAUUUUAACAUUUAUUUAUGAUUAUAUGAUCCAAUUUUAUUGAUUAAAAGAUUAAGUUACCUUAGGGAUAACAGCGUAAUUUUUUUAGAGAGUUCAUAUCGAUAAAAAAGUUUGCGACCUCGAUGUUGGAUUAAAAAUUAUCUUAGGUGCAGAAGUUUAAGAUUUUGGUCUGUUCGACCAUUAAAUUUUUACAUGAUCUGAGUUCAGACCGGUGUAAGCCAGGUCGGUUUCUAUCUUUAAUAAAAUAUAAUAUUUUAGUACGAAAGGACCAAAUAUUUGAUAUAUUUAUAUUUAAUUAUUUUGAAUAU
rnacentral:rRNA from 1 species